UUGAACGCUGGCGGCAGGCCUAACACAUGCAAGUCGAGCGGAUGAAGGGAGCUUGCUCCUGGAUUCAGCGGCGGACGGGUGAGUAAUGCCUAGGAAUCUGCCUGGUAGUGGGGGAUAACGUCCGGAAACGGGCGCUAAUACCGCAUACGUCCUGAGGGAGAAAGUGGGGGAUCUUCGGACCUCACGCUAUCAGAUGAGCCUAGGUCGGAUUAGCUAGUUGGUGGGGUAAAGGCCUACCAAGGCGACGAUCCGUAACUGGUCUGAGAGGAUGAUCAGUCACACUGGAACUGAGACACGGUCCAGACUCCUACGGGAGACAGCAGUGGGGAAUAUUGGACAAUGGGCGAAAGCCUGAUCCAGCCAUGCCGCGUGUGUGAAGAAGGUCUUCGGAUUGUAAAGCACUUUAAGUUGGGAGGAAGGGCAGUAAGUUAAUACCUUGCUGUUUUGACGUUACCAACAGAAUAAGCACCGGCUAACUUCGUG
rnacentral:rRNA from 1 species